rnacentral:tRNA from 1 species
AAGUUAAUGAGUUUGAAAUAAACAUAUACUUUGAAAGUAUAAUAUAGAAAAUUUUUUUCUAUUAACUUU